rnacentral:lncRNA from 1 species
AACAACUCUUUAUUUAUUGGUCGGCGAUUCAAUCAAACAAGUGAUCUCUACUCUUAUCCUAUUAGAUCUUCUUGUUACCACAUCUAUUCUGUAAGUCUUUUAUCUGAUCGCUUAGAGGCCUUGCCAAUAGAUUUGUUUCAAGUAAAAGCUGUUCAACUUCCUAUUCCUUCACGAAAUGGAUCUUUUGCAGUAUUUCCUUUGCAUUUUGAAAAUCACCAUUAAGUUUAAUGAAUUAAUGUAGUAUUUUGUAAAUUUUUUGAAACCUUUUUUAGCCUAAAUUUGCAAUUGUCGAGGAAAUCACUGAAGAUGUUGAUGAUGUUGACAAGUGGGUGGAAGUUGUAUGUGAGAGUUGGUUUGAUGGUGAAUACUGUUUAUUUCCUCCGAAAAGCAAAGAAAAAUAUAUUACGACUUAUGUAAAAACAUGUCAUCAACCAGACUCAAGUUGGGUCAAAUAUCCUGCAAAAUUAAUCAAAACAUAUGCAUCUUACGAUGAAGCAAGACAAAAACUCAAUAAAGCAGUUAAGGGGGAUGAUCUGUGUACAACCGACGCAGAUGAAAGGAAAAAAACCAGAAAAUCGCGAAUGUCAAAAUUUUCCCGAGAAGAUAAAAAUGAAGAUGAUGACAUGGCAAUCAAUCGUUCAAAGAAAACAUCUUUUAAAAGAAUUCGGCAAUUCCCGGCUAGUGGCAGCGAAGACGAAAUGGCGAAUUCUCCUGUUCCGCCAAAACCACCAGCAAUUGCAUUAGCCAAUACCAAGCUUUCCUCACAAAGCAAUCUACAAUCUCAACGUUCUUGCAUCAAAAGAACAAAAAGUUUGCCAUCAAACAGUAAGAAGCCAACCAGAAAUGAGAAUGUGAGAUGCUUUCCUGAAAAGCAAACAGGUUUGCGAGAUACAACUAGCAA